rnacentral:misc_RNA from 1 species
GAUGAAGAACGUAGCGAAAUGCGAUAAGUAGUGUGAAUUGCAGAAUUCAGUGAAUCAUCGAAUCUUUGAACGCACAUUGCGCCCUAUGGUAUUCCGUAGGGCAUGCCUGUUCGAGCGUCAUUCAAACCUUCAAGCUCUGCUUGGUGUUGGGCGUCUGUCCUGCCUCACGGCGCGGACUCGCCUCAAAUCUAUUGGCGGCCGGCACGUUGGCUUCGAGCGCAGCAGAAACGCGAACUCGAGACCGGCGGAUCGGCUCCCAGAAGCUACCCCCAUGAAUUUGACCUCGGAUCAGGUAGGGAUACCCGCUGAACUUAAGCAUAUCAAAAGCGGAGGA